CUGCUUCAACAGCAUAUACAGUAAAAUUGGAACUUCUCUGCAGGCAGAGAAGCUCAGCACAGCCCCUGUGUAAGGGUGACAUGCAGAGCCGUGUGAAGCACUCCAUAUGUUU
ensembl:snRNA U6 U6 spliceosomal RNA